GUGAAGAUGGGCAGGCACGUUGCCUGCGGCAGGCAGUCGCUAAGAAACAUGCCCAUUUUGCUAAAUAUGGAAUGGAAUAUCAUUUCCAUUUCACGUAUAAGGAAACUGAGACACAGGGGAAAUAAUCUGACCAAGGACACAGCUAAGAAACUUACGCUUUUACCACUGUGUUACAAGCCUUGUUAUAUACUGUAAACUUGUUAUGUAAUACAUAAUUUCUUGAAUAUUUUUCAUGUUAUUAAAACUCUGAUAACAUAUUAUUUUAAUGUCUAAAUCAAUAUUAUAUCCUUUAUAUAACCAGACCUCUAUUAUGAAAUACUUAGAUUGUUUCACUCUUUUAUUUAAUAAAUAAUGCUGUAGUAAAUAUAUUUGCAAAGAAGGAUUUUUCUGUAUUUAGAGUUUUUGGAGGGAUACAUUCUCAGAAGCAGUAUUAUGAAGUUUAGUGGUAUGACUAUUUUAAAGCCCUUGAGUUAUAUUGCAAAUUACUUUUCAAAGAUGAUGUACCAAUUUACAUACCUAAUGUAAAGUAGGAGAGAUGCCUCUUUCACUGAACUGUCACUGUCAUCAAGUAGCACAUAUUCUUUUCUCUGAAUAAAGAGCAAUAUUCAAU
rnacentral:lncRNA from 1 species